AUGAAAGCCAUAAAUUAGUUUCAUAGUAGGGCUGAGUAUAUUGGAUACUUUUUCUUCCAUUCUUGAGAUACUUUAUUAAGAAGAAUAUGUUCCAGCUCCAUCCAUGUAAACAUGAAAGAUGUAAAGUCUCCAUCUUUCUUUAAGGCUGCAUAAUAUUCCAUGGUGUACAUAUACCACAAUUUAUGAAUCCAUUUGUGGAUUGAUGGGCACUUGAUCUUUUUCCAUGACUUAGCAAUUAUGAAUUGGGCUGCAAUAAACAUUCUGGUACAAAUAUCUGUGUUAUGAUGUGAUUUUUGGUCUUCUGGGUAUAUACCUAGUAGAGGAAUUAUAGGAUUGAAUGUCAGGUCUAUUUUUAGAUCUCUAAGUGUUCUCCAAACAUCUUUCCACAAGGAAUGUAUUAAUUUGCAUUCCCAUCAGCAGUGUAGAAGUGUUCUCUUUUCUACACAUCCACGCCAACAUCUCUUGUCUUGGGAUUUUGUGAUAUGGGCUAAUCUUACUGGAGUUAGAUGAUAUCUCAGAGUAGUUUUGAUUUGCAUUUCUCUGAUGAUUAAGGAUGAUGAGCAUUUUUUCAUAUGUCUGUAGGCCGUGCGCCUGUCUUUAGAGAAGUUUCUCUUCAAGCCCUUGCCCCGCCUGCGAUGGGAUCACUUGAACUCAUGAUAUUUUCUUCCAAACUUGCUUCUCCUGUUUUCUAGCUCAGUGUAUGACAUACACCAACACCUAGUUACCUAAUCUAAACUCUGGAAGUCAAUCUUCUCUCUCAGCCUUCACAUCCAAUCAUUGACCAAGUUCUAUUGAUAUUAGUUCAUAAAUAAGUUAUGAAUCUAUUCACAUCUCUACAUUUUUAUUCAUAACACCUGGACUACUCUUGGCAUUCUCCUGAUAUAUCUUUUUACCUACUGUCAUGUUACAGACUUCUAGAUGUAACCUAUCAGUGGUUCGUAGAAAUUAGUGUUUGAUGGUUUGUGACCAGCAUUCUUUUAAAAAGGAGAUAGAACAAACAGGCAUUGUGCUGGGUGCCUGUAGUCCCAGCUACUCAGGAUGCUGAAGCAAGAGAAUCACUUGACUCCUCUCAGAACCUUCCAGUCGGUGCAUUCAGACCUUGUUGCUCCAGCUUUUGGGGCAUGUUCCAUUCUUUUAGCCUGCGACCAGCAGAGAGAAAAAACAUUUUUUAAAAUCUGCCCCGUAAACACCUCAAGGCGAGCAAAAACAAUAAAUUUUAACUAUGAGGGAAAUUGUGCACAUUCAGGCCAUUCAGUGUGGCAACCAAAUCGGUGCCAAGUUCUGGGAGGUGAUCACCGAUGAACAUGGCAUCCACCCCACCGGUACCUACCAUGGGGACAGUGAUCUGCAGCUAGACGGAAUCUCUGUGUACUACAAUGAAGCCACAGGUGGCAAAUACGUUCCUCGGACUAUCCUGGUGGAUCUAGAACCUGGGACCACGGACUCUGUUUGCUCAGGUCCUUUUGGCCAAAUCUUCAGACCAGACAACUUUGUUUUUGGUCAGUCUGGGGCAGACAACAACUGGGCCAAAGGCCACUAUACAGAAGGGGCUGAGCUGCUUGAUUCAGUCCUGGAUGUGGUACGGAAGGAGGCAGAGAGCUGUGACUGCCUGCAGGGCUUCCAGCUGACCCAGCCGCUGGGUGGGGGCACAGGUUGUGGAAUGGGCACACUCCUUAUCAGCAAGAUCCGAGAAGAGUAUCCUGACCGCAUCAUGAAUACCUUCAAUGUGGUGCCUUCACCCAAAGUGUCUGAUACCGUGGUUGAGCCCUAUAAUGCCACCCUUUCUGUCCAUCAGUUGGUAGAGAACACUGAUGAGACCUACUGCAUUGACAAUGAGGCCCUUUACGACAUCUGCUUCCAUACCCUAAAGUUGACCACACCAACUUAUGGGGACCUGAACCACCUUGUCUCAGCCACCAUGAGUGGUGUCACCACCUGCCUCCGUUUCCCUGGCCAGCUCAACGCUUACCUCUGCGAGCUGGCAGUCAACAUGGUGCCCUUCCCACGUCUCCACUUCUUCAUGCCUGGCUUUGCCCCUCUCACCAGCCAUGGAAGCCAGCAGUAUUAGGCUCUCACUGUGCCAGAAUUCACCCAGCAGGUCUUUGAUGCCAAGAACAUGAUGGCUGCCUGUGACCCCCGCCAUGGCCAAUACCUCACCGUGGCUGCUGUCUUCCAUGGAUGGAUGUCCAUGAAGGAGGUAGAUGAGCAGAUGCUCAAUGUGCAGAACAAGAAUAGUAGUUAUUUCGUUGAAUGGAUCCCCAACAAUGUCAAGACAGCUGUCUGCAACAUCCCACUUCGUGGCCUCAAGAUGGCAGUCACCUUCAUUGGCAACAGCACAGCUAUCCAGGAGCUCUUCAAGCGCAUCUCAGAGCAGUUCACUGCCAUGUUCUGUCAGAAGGCCUUCCUCUACUGGUAUACAGGCGAGGGCAUGGACAAGAUGGAAUUCACCGAGACUGAGAGCAACAUGAAUGACCUCGUCUCUGAGUAUCAGCAGUACCAGGAUGCCACUGCAAAAGAGGAGGAGGAUUUUGGUGAAGAGGCUGAAGAGGAGGCCUAA